GUGUAUAUUACAUUACAGAUGACAAGGGCUCCCAGAGGAUGUAAUGCUGUGGUCCUCCGAUCUUGGCAGUACCUUGCACAGAAAUAUUUGUUGAUGGCAGCCUCACUGAAGAAAUGCUGUGUGGAUCGGUCU